GUAUCCUACGGGAGGCAGCAGUGAGGAAUAUUGGUCAAUGGGAGGAAUCCUGAACAAGCCAUGCCGCGUGCAGGACGACGGCUCUACGAGUUGUAAACUGCUUUUGUACCGGGGUAAAAUGCUCUACGAGUAGGGUUUUGAAAGUACGGUACGAAUAAGGAUCGGCUAACUACGUGCCAGCAGCCGCGGUAAUACGUAGGUGGCGAGCGUUAUCCGGAAUGAUUAGGCGUAAAGGGUGCGUAGGCGGCCUGCUAAG
rnacentral:rRNA from 1 species